rnacentral:piRNA from 1 species
UCAGAAAAAAAAGAUUUUCGG